GCACUGGUAUCAACCAGAUUGGAAUUCAUCCAAUGCUCCAUCAUCCCCACUAGCAACCGAUCUGAAGUUACUGUGGAUCGGGCCAUCAUGAUUCAUAGCAUCAUGAUUGGAGAGGAAGUAGAAGUUCAUGAAGUCAUCUCCAGUGAACUCUAAAAAAAUAGCCGACAAGCCCUCUCCUGGGUCAAGGCUAGCUUUUCCUCAUCUAAUUUGCCAUCUAUGUUACUCAGCUGGAGCUUUCAUAGAAGGUGACACUUCCAUUGAGGAAGGAAAUCCCAUCACCAAGAAAAGGAUGGAGCAAGCAAGAGAGCCCAUUAAUGGAGCUCAAGAGGCGUAUGGAGCUCAUCACCAUGAGAUCCCGGAGAUGCCUCAAAUGCACUUUCCUCCAAAUAACUUUUGGGGAGAACAUCAACACCUCCCUAGAAGAAAUAAGUUCCA